AUUGAACGCUGGCGGCAGGCCUAAUACAUGCAAGUCGAACGAGUGGCGGACGGGUGAGUAAUGUCUGGGAAACUGCCUGAUGGAGGGGGAUAACUAGUGGAACCGGUAGCUAAUACCGCAUACCAUCGGAUGUGCCCAGGUGGGAUUAGCUAGUAGGUGGGGUAAAGGCUCACCUAGGCGACGAUCCCUAGCUGGUCUGAGAGGAUGACCGGCCACACUGGAACUGAGACACGGUCCAGACUCCUACGGGAGGCAGCAGUAGGGAAUCUUGCACAAUGGGCGCAAGCCUGACAGAGCCAUGCCGCGUGUGUGAAGAAGGCCUUCGGAUUGUAAAGUUCUUUCAGUGGGGAGGCGUUACCCGCACAGGAAGCAACGGCUAACUCCGCGCCAGCAGCCGCGGUAAUAC
rnacentral:rRNA from 1 species